UACCAAACAGGGCCAUUCUCUUUCCUAGAAUGCUUCCCUUCUUCCACUGAUCUAAAGUCCCUGCUUCUCUCCUUCUUCUAUGUCUCCUCCACCGCUAUAAGGUUCCUUUUUCUCUCCUCCAAACUCUGUCAACGGUACACCUCCCUCUUCCCAAAACCCUAACUCCUAAUUCGAUAAAAUUUACCCGGAUAUGGGAAUGGGUCUUGUAGGUGUGUCUGCUUGUGGUUCUGCUACGGAUUCUACUAUUGGGGGAGAAAUGGGAGGAUAUGGUGGUUAUGUUGAUGGAGGAGACUUUAGGUCGAAGGUGUGGAGUAUAUCGGGUGGCCCCAAAUACCGGCGUCGUAACUCCGCUUUCUCCGACGUCUUCCUCAUUUGUGUUCCCGUGGCCAUGAAAUUCGCCCAUCUUGAGGUAAUGCAGUGGUUAAAGACUCAAGGAAAUCUCGUAUUUAAUUUUUAGAAUGUGGAAGGAAGGUGGGGGAGAAGGUCAGAUCAGUCAAACCUGCCGGUGACUUGGCCCAUUAUAUCCAUUCACUGCUGGUGUCUAUGUUGCUCUAAUGAUGGCCGAGCUUCUGUUGGCUUCUGGCUCCUCUUGCUUUUGCGCAUUAUACACCAAGCUUGUAAAAUUUGAUGUUUUGAAUCUGUUAAAUACCACUUCUACCAAGCAGUACACCCACUUUUUAUUGGAUGUCCUGAAGUGUAUGGGGAUAAUAUUUAGUCUCUGAAACUGUUGUCAAUGCCUUACCGAGUUUCAUAAAUUUCCCAUAUAAGAUUCUCAGUUUUCGAGUUAUGACAAAGAGAAGAUUGAUAAAGAACUCAAUGGUUGCUCGACAAAUGUAUUAGCUAAGUUAUUUUGAAAGUAUCAAUAAAUAUAUAAUUCUAUGAAUUAAUGUACUUUUACGUAGUUUAAUUUUUGCGGUCUUUUUAGAACAUAAUUCUGUAAUCGUCUAUUACGGUGACAAUUGAAUUAUUUCGUUGGAGCUUUAAAAUCAAUAUUCAACCAUUUACUACUCAA